rnacentral:rRNA from 1 species
GAUGAACGCUGGCGGCGUGCCUAAUACAUGCAAGUCGAGCGAACGGACGAGAAGCUUGCUUCUCUGAUGUUAGCGGCGGACGGGUGAGUAACACGUGGAUAACCUACCUAUAAGACUGGGAUAACUUCGGGAAACCGGAGCUAAUACCGGAUAAUAUUUUGUACCGCAUGGUUCAAAAGUGAAAGACGGUCUUGCUGUCACUUAUAGAUGGAUCCGCGCUGCAUUAGCUAGUUGGUAAGGUAACGGCUUACCAAGGCAACGAUGCAUAGCCGACCUGAGAGGGUGAUCGGCCACAUUGGAACUGAGACACGGUCCAGACUCCUACGGGAGGCAGCAGUAGGGAAUCUUCCGCAAUGGGCGAAAGCCUGACGGAGCAACGCCGCGUGAGUGAUGAAGGUCUUCGGAUCGUAAAACUCUGUUAUUAGGGAAGAACAUAUGUGUAAGUAACUGUGCACAUCUUGACGGUACCUAAUCAGAAAGCCACGGCUAACUACGUG